GACGAACGCUGGCGGCGUGUCUAAUACAUGCAAGUUGAGCGCUGAAGGUUGGUACUUGUACCAACUGGAUGAGCAGCGAACGGGUGAGUAACGCGUGGGUAAUCUGCCUUUGAGCGGGGGACAACAUUUGGAAACGAAUGCUAAUACCGCAUAAAAACUUUAAACACAAGUUUUAAGUUUGAAAGAUGCCAUUGCAUCACUCAAAGAUGAUCCCGCGUUGUAUUAGCUAGUUGGUGAGGUAAAGGCUCACCAAGGCGAUGAUACAUAGCCGACCUGAGAGGGUGAUCGGCCACAAUGGGACUGAGACACGGCCCAAACCCCUACGGGAAGCAGCAGUAGGGAAUCUUCGGCAAUGGAGGAAAGGCUGACCGAGCAACGCCGGGUGAGUGAAGAAGGGUUUCGGAUCGGAAAAAUCUGUUGGUAGAGAAGAAAGUUGGGGAGAGUGGAAAGCUCAUCAAGUGACGGUAACUACCCAGAAAGGGACGGCUAACUACGUG
rnacentral:rRNA from 1 species